rnacentral:rRNA from 1 species
AGCUCCAAUAGCGUAUAUUAAAGUUGUUGUGGUUAAAAAGCUCGUAGUUGGAUCUCCACAGUCUGAGGUUGGUGUACUUGCUAGUACUACUGCCCUAUAGACUGUAGUUUUGCCAGAGGUGCUAGGGUGCUCUUAAUCGAGUGUCCUAUUAUGCUGGCAGGUUUACUUUGAAAAAAUUAGAGUGCUCAAAGCAGGCUAUUACGCCUGAAUAUUCGUGCAUGGAAUAAUAGAAUAGGAAGUCGUUUCUAUUUUGUUGGUUUUUAAGUUUCGACUUAAUGAUUAAUAGGGACAAACGGGGGCAUUUGUAUUCAAACGACAGAGGUGAAAUUCUUGGACCGUUUGAAGACAAACUACUGCGAAAGCAUUUGCCAAGAGUGUUUUCA